rnacentral:rRNA from 1 species
GUAGGGAAUAUUGGACAAUGGGGGCAACCCUGAUCCAGCGACGCCGCGUGAGUGAUGAAGGCCUUCGGGUCGCAAAGCUCUGUUGCAGGGGAAGAACACAAUGACGGUACCCUGCUAGAAAGGAUCGGCUAACUUCGUGCCAGCAGCCGCGGUAAGACGAGGGAUCCUAGCGUUGUUCGGAAUUAUUGGGCGUAAAGCGGGUGCAGGUGGCUUGGUAAGUCAGAUGUGAAAGCCUGGGGCUUAACCCCAGAAGUGCAUUUGAUACUGCUGAGCUUGAGUGCUGGAGAGGCUAGUAGAAUUCCUGGUGUAGUGGUGAAAUACGUAGAUAUCAGGAGGAAUACCGGAGGCGAAGGCGGAUAGCUGGCCAGACACUGACACUCAGACCCGAAAGCGUGGGGAUCAAACAGGAUUAGAUACCCGUGUAGUCC